CCUACGGGUGGCAGCAGUGAGGAAUCUUGGUCAAUGGGCGCGAGCCUGAACCAGCCAAGCCGCGUGAAGGAAGACGGCCCUCCGGGUUGUAAACUUCUUUUAUAAAGGAGUAAAGGCAGGAACGUGUGUCUUUUUGUAUGUACUUUAUGAAUAAGGAUCGGCUAACUCCGUGCCAGCAGACGCGGUAAUACGGAGGAUACGAGCGUUAUCCGGAUUUAUUGGGUUUAAAGGGAGCGUAGAGGGGUGGUUAAGUCAGUUGUGAAAGCUUGCGGCUCAACCGAAAAAUUGCAAUUGAUACUGGGAGUCUUGAGUGCAGUUGAGGUAGGCGGAAUUCGUGGUGUAGCGGUGAAAUGCUUAGAUAUCACGAAGAACACCGAUUGCGAAGGCAGCUUACUAAGCUGUCACUGACGUUGAGGCUCGAAAGUGUGGGUAGCAAACAGGAUUAGAUACCCUUGUAGUC
rnacentral:rRNA from 1 species